AUGAACGCUGGCGGCGUGCUUAACACAUGCAAGUCGAACGAAGCAUUUGCGACAGAUUUUUUCGGAAUGAAGUUGCUUAUGACUGAGUGGCGGACGGGUGAGUAACGCGUGGGUAACCUGCCUUGUACUGGGGGAUAGCAGCUGGAAACGGCUGGUAAUACCGCAUAAGCGCACAAUGUUGCAUGACAUGGUGUGAAAAACUCCGGUGGUAUAAGAUGGGCCCGCGUCUGAUUAGCUAGUUGGUGAGAUAACAGCCCACCAAGGCGACGAUCAGUAGCCGACCUGAGAGGGUGACCGGCCACAUUGGGACUGAGACACGGCCCAGACUCCUACGGGAGGCAGCAGUGGGGAAUAUUGCACAAUGGAGGAAACUCUGAUGCAGCGACGCCGCGUGAGUGAAGAAGUAAUUCGUUAUGUAAAGCUCUAUCAGCAGGGAAGAUAGUGACGGUACCUGACUAAGAAGCUCCGGCUAAAUACGUG
rnacentral:rRNA from 1 species